UUAAGCGACUAAGCGUACACGGUGGAUGCCCUGGCAGUCAGAGGCGAUGAAGGACGUGCUAAUCUGCGAUAAGCGUCGGUAAGGUGAUAUGAACCGUUAUAACCGGCGAUUUCCGAAUGGGGAAACCCAGUGUGUUUCGACACACUAUCAUUAACUGAAUCCAUAGGUUAAUGAGGCGAACCGGGGGAACUGAAACAUCUAAGUACCCCGAGGAAAAGAAAUCAACCGAGAUUCCCCCAGUAGCGGCGAGCGAACGGGGAGGAGCCCAGAGCCUGAAUCAGUGUGUGUGUUAGUGGAAGCGUCUGGAAAGGCGCGCGAUACAGGGUGACAGCCCCGUACACAAAAAUGCACAUAUUGUGAGCUCGAUGAGUAGGGCGGGACACGUGGUAUCCUGUCUGAAUAUGGGGGGACCAUCCUCCAAGGCUAAAUACUCCUGACUGACCGAUAGUGAACCAGUACCGUGAGGGAAAGGCGAAAAGAACCCCGGCGAGGGGAGUGAAAAAGAACCUGAAACCGUGUACGUACAAGCAGUGGGAGCCUCUUUUAUGGGGUGACUGCGUACCUUUUGUAUAAUGGGUCAGCGACUUAUAUUCUGUAGCAAGGUUAACCGAAUAGGGGAGCCGAAGGGAAACCGAGUCUUAACUGGGCGUUAAGUUGCAGGGUAUAGACCCGAAACCCGGUGAUCUAGCCAUGGGCAGGUUGAAGGUUGGGUAACACUAACUGGAGGACCGAACCGACUAAUGUUGAAAAAUUAGCGGAUGACUUGUGGCUGGGGGUGAAAGGCCAAUCAAACCGGGAGAUAGCUGGUUCUCCCCGAAAGCUAUUUAGGUAGCGCCUCGUGAAUUCAUCUCCGGGGGUAGAGCACUGUUUCGGCAAGGGGGUCAUCCCGACUUACCAACCCGAUGCAAACUGCGAAUACCGGAGAAUGUUAUCACGGGAGACACACGGCGGGUGCUAACGUCCGUCGUGAAGAGGGAAACAACCCAGACCGCCAGCUAAGGUCCCAAAGUCAUGGUUAAGUGGGAAACGAUGUGGGAAGGCCCAGACAGCCAGGAUGUUGGCUUAGAAGCAGCCAUCAUUUAAAGAAAGCGUAAUAGCUCACUGGUCGAGUCGGCCUGCGCGGAAGAUGUAACGGGGCUAAACCAUGCACCGAAGCUGCGGCAGCGACACUAUGUGUUGUUGGGUAGGGGAGCGUUCUGUAAGCCUGUGAAGGUGUACUGUGAGGUAUGCUGGAGGUAUCAGAAGUGCGAAUGCUGACAUAAGUAACGAUAAAGCGGGUGAAAAGCCCGCUCGCCGGAAGACCAAGGGUUCCUGUCCAACGUUAAUCGGGGCAGGGUGAGUCGACCCCUAAGGCGAGGCCGAAAGGCGUAGUCGAUGGGAAACAGGUUAAUAUUCCUGUACUUGGUGUUACUGCGAAGGGGGGACGGAGAAGGCUAUGUUGGCCGGGCGACGGUUGUCCCGGUUUAAGCGUGUAGGCUGGUUUUCCAGGCAAAUCCGGAAAAUCAAGGCUGAGGCGUGAUGACGAGGCACUACGGUGCUGAAGCAACAAAUGCCCUGCUUCCAGGAAAAGCCUCUAAGCAUCAGGUAACAUCAAAUCGUACCCCAAACCGACACAGGUGGUCAGGUAGAGAAUACCAAGGCGCUUGAGAGAACUCGGGUGAAGGAACUAGGCAAAAUGGUGCCGUAACUUCGGGAGAAGGCACGCUGAUAUGUAGGUGAAGUCCCUCGCGGAUGGAGCUGAAAUCAGUCGAAGAUACCAGCUGGCUGCAACUGUUUAUUAAAAACACAGCACUGUGCAAACACGAAAGUGGACGUAUACGGUGUGACGCCUGCCCGGUGCCGGAAGGUUAAUUGAUGGGGUUAGCGCAAGCGAAGCUCUUGAUCGAAGCCCCGGUAAACGGCGGCCGUAACUAUAACGGUCCUAAGGUAGCGAAAUUCCUUGUCGGGUAAGUUCCGACCUGCACGAAUGGCGUAAUGAUGGCCAGGCUGUCUCCACCCGAGACUCAGUGAAAUUGAACUCGCUGUGAAGAUGCAGUGUACCCGCGGCAAGACGGAAAGACCCCGUGAACCUUUACUAUAGCUUGACACUGAACAUUGAGCCUUGAUGUGUAGGAUAGGUGGGAGGCUUAGAAGUGUGGACGCCAGUCUGCAUGGAGCCGACCUUGAAAUACCACCCUUUAAUGUUUGAUGUUCUAACGUGGACCCGUGAUCCGGGUUGCGGACAGUGUCUGGUGGGUAGUUUGACUGGGGCGGUCUCCUCCUAAAGAGUAACGGAGGAGCACGAAGGUUGGCUAAUCCUGGUCGGACAUCAGGAGGUUAGUGCAAUGGCAUAAGCCAGCUUGACUGCGAGCGUGACGGCGCGAGCAGGUGCGAAAGCAGGUCAUAGUGAUCCGGUGGUUCUGAAUGGAAGGGCCAUCGCUCAACGGAUAAAAGGUACUCCGGGGAUAACAGGCUGAUACCGCCCAAGAGUUCAUAUCGACGGCGGUGUUUGGCACCUCGAUGUCGGCUCAUCACAUCCUGGGGCUGAAGUAGGUCCCAAGGGUAUGGCUGUUCGCCAUUUAAAGUGGUACGCGAGCUGGGUUUAGAACGUCGUGAGACAGUUCGGUCCCUAUCUGCCGUGGGCGCUGGAGAACUGAGGGGGGCUGCUCCUAGUACGAGAGGACCGGAGUGGACGCAUCACUGGUGUUCGGGUUGUCAUGCCAAUGGCACUGCCCGGUAGCUAAAUGCGGAAGAGAUAAGUGCUGAAAGCAUCUAAGCACGAAACUUGCCCCGAGAUGAGUUCUCCCUGACCCUUUAAGGGUCCUGAAGGAACGUUGAAGACGACGACGUUGAUAGGCCGGGUGUGUAAGCGCAGCGAUGCGUUGAGCUAACCGGUACUAAUGAACCGUGAGGCUUAACCUU
rnacentral:rRNA from 1 species